GACGAACGCUGGCGGCGUGCUUAACACAUGCAAGUCGAACGGAAAGGCCCUGCUUUUGUGGGGUUCUCGAGUGGCGAACGGGUGAGUAACACGUGAGUAACCUGCCCUUGACUUUGGGAUAACUUCAGGAAACUGGGGCUAAUACCGGAUAGGAGCUCCUGCUGCAUGGUGGGGGUUGGAAAGUUUCGGCGGUUGGGGAUGGACUCGCGGCUUAUCAGCUUGUUGGUGGGGUAGUGGCUUACCAAGGCUUUGACGGGUAGCCGGCAUGAGAGGGUGACCGGCCACAAUGGGACUAAGAUACGGACCAGAAUCCUACGGGAGGCAGCAGGCGAGAAUAUUGCACAAUGGGCGGAAGCCUGAUGCGACAGCGCCGCGUGCGGGAUGCCGGCCUUCGGGUUGUAAACCGCUUUCGCCUGUGACGAAGCGUGAGUGACGGUAAUGGGUAAAGAAGCACCGGCUAACUACGUG
rnacentral:rRNA from 1 species